AGAAUCAACGCUGGCGGCGUGCCUAACACAUGCAAGUCGAACGAGAAAGUGGAGCGAAUCCAUGAGUAAAGUGGCGACCGGGUGAGUAACACGUGACUAACCUAACCUUCGAGUGGGGGAUAACCUCGGGAAACCGAGGCUAAUACCGCAUAACAUCGCAAGAUCAAAGCAGCAAUGCGCUGGAAGAGGGGGUCGCGGCUGAUUAGCUAGUUAGGCGGGUAAUGGCCCACCAAGGCGAAGAUCGGUAGCCGGCCUGAGAGGGCGCACGGCCACACUGGAACUGAAACACGGUCCAGACUCCUACGGGAGGCAGCAGUGGGGAAUUUUGCGCAAUGGGGGAAACCCUGACGCAGCAACGCCGCGUGGAGGAUGAAGGCCCCUUGGGGGUGUAAACUCCUUUCGACCAAGACGAUAAUGACGGUACUGGUGGAAGGAAGCACCGGCUAACUCUGCGCCAGCAGCCGC
rnacentral:rRNA from 1 species